ensembl:snoRNA Gm23534 predicted gene, 23534
UCUUUGUAUGUGUGGCUGCUGUGUCAUUUGUGCAGUGGUAGGUUCUAUGCUCAGUGUUCUGACAUGUGAACAUCUGAAUGUUUAGGAACCUAACAUU